CUGCGGAAGGAUCAUUGUAGAGUUCCUUAUUAAACAAUUGUGAAAUUGUACUCAUACCCGUCAAGAACUAUGUAUUUGCGCGGUUAGCGCUCGCGUUGUUUAGAUGGGAUCCAUUUGCUGCCUCCAUCUUGCUUCAAUUGAAGCAAGUAGGAGAGUAGAAAUAAGAAACCGGCACGGUUUGUGCCAAGGAAAGUUGUUGUUGGAGUGCAUUGCCAUCAUUUUGAUGUGCUUUGUGUUAUUCCAGUGAGCGUCUAAAUGACUCUUGGCAAUGGAUAUCUUGGCUCUUGUGUCGAUGAAGAACGUAGCGAAAUGCGACACUUGGUGUGAAUUGCAGAAUCCCGUGAACCAUCGAGUCUUUGAAUGCAAGUUGCGCUCGAGGCCAUUAGGUCGAGAGCACGUCUGUUUGGGCGUCAUGCCUUGCGUCGUUCUAACCACCCACCUAUGAUAAACAUAUUGUGGGUGAUAGCGGAUGUGGAGAUUGGCCUUCCGUGCUUUAAUUGUGCGGUUGGUUUAAGUGAAUGUUGUCGCUAGGACUACGCGUGGCGAAUGGUGUAACACACGAUGUCUCUAACUGCGUAAAGGAGUUCUAGGCAUGAUCUAACAUUAACUGAAACCAAUUUCGAUGCUUGCCUCCAUUGCAAGCUCGGACCAUGACCUCAGAUCAGACGGGGCUACCCGCUGAGUUUAAGCAUA
rnacentral:rRNA from 1 species